GGAUGUGAAGGUGAUCUGGCUGUGACAUGUGUCACCUCAUUGAUCACCAGGGUCGAUUCAGCUGACCUUGCUUGCAAGGCGGGUGUCCCUUUCUUCCCUCGCCACUCAAUGUCCUUCCCGAAGCUGCUAGAACCUCCAAACAAGCUCUCAAGUAUUCACUACCUUUGUUUUUAAUCUAAUUUACUUAAUUGCAGGCAUAUAUAUAUAUAUAAUUUAAUGUGUAGUAAUGGCUGUUCUUAAUAACCACCUCACAGAAUUCUCCAGAAUCUCACAAUUAAUACCUGUGAGCCAGUGUGAGCCAGUCUGGCUCAUCAC
rnacentral:snRNA from 1 species